GAACUUGAGGAGGGGAUCGCCCACACUGGACUGAGAACCGCAAUACCUACGGAGGGCAGGAAGUAGGGAUCUCCGCAUGAACGAAGUCCGACGGAGCACGCCGCGUGAGGGAUGAGGUUUCGGAUCGUAAACUCUGUUGUUAGGAGAACAAGUACCGUUCGAUAGGCGGCACCUGACGUACUAACCAGAAAGCACGGCUAACUACGUGCCAGCAGCCGCGGUAAUACGUAGGUGGCAAGCGUGUCCGGAAUUAUUGGGCGUAAAGCGCGCGCAGGCGGUUUCUUAAGUCUGAUGUGAAAGCCCCCGGCUCAACCGGGGAGGGUCAUUGGAAACUGGGGAACUUGAGUGCAGAAGAGGAGAGUGGAAUUCCACGUGUAGCGGUGAAAUGCGUAGAGAUGUGGAGGAACACCAGUGGCGAAGGCGACUCUCUGGUCUGUAACUGACGCUGAGGCGCGAAAGCGUGGGGAGCGAACAGGAUUAGAUACCCUGGUAGUCCACGCCGUAAACGAUGAGUGCUAAGUGUUAGAGGGUUUCCGCCCUUUAGUGCUGCAGCAAACGCAUUAAGCACUCCGCCUGGGGAGUACGGUCGCAAGACUGAAACUCAAAGGAAUUGACGGGGGCCCGCACAAGCGGUGGAGCAUGUGGUUUAAUUCGAAGCAACGCGAAGAACCUUACCAGGUCUUGACAUCCUCUGACAACCCUAGAGAUAGGGCUUCCCCUUCGGGGGCAGAGUGACAGGUGGUGCAUGGUUGUCGUCAGCUCGUGUCGUGAGAUGUUGGGUUAAGUCCCGCAACGAGCGCAACCCUUGAUCUUAGUUGCCAGCAUUCAGUUGGGCACUCUAAGGUGACUGCCGGUGACAAACCGGAGGAAGGUGGGGAUGACGUCAAAUCAUCAUGCCCCUUAUGACCUGGGCUACACACGUGCUACAAUGGGCAGAACAAAGGGCAGCGAAGCCGCGAGGCUAAGCCAAUCCCACAAAUCUGUUCUCAGUUCGGAUCGCAGUCUGCAACUCGACUGCGUGAAGCUGGAAUCGCUAGUAAUCGCGGAUCAGCAUGCCGCGGUGAAUGCGUUCCCGGGCCUUGUACACACCGCCCGUCACACCACGAGAGUUUGUAACACCCGAAGUCGGUGAGGUAACCUUUUGGAGCCAGCCGCCGAAGGUGGGACAGAUGAUUGGGGUGAAGUCGUAACAAGGUAACC
rnacentral:rRNA from 1 species